AAACACAACAAAGGAGGAGCAGGCGCGCAAUUACCCACUCCUGACUCAGGGAGGUAGUGACAAGAAAUAACAAUAAACCGGCUUAUGCCGGUUUAAUUGGAAUGAGUACAAUUUAAACAUCUUAACGAGGAACAAUUGGAGGGCAAGUCUGGUGCCAGCAGCCGCGGUAAUUCCAGCUCCAAUAGCGUAUACUAAAGUUGUUGCAGUUAAAAAGCUCGUAGUUGGAUUUCUGUGGGGACGGAGCGGCCGGCCGCAACACGCGGUUCGAGCUAGCGCUUUCCCUACAUCCUGCCGCGAACCGUGCUACCAUUAGUUUGGUGGCGCCGGGGAUCGGCUCGAUUACUUUGAGAAAAAUAGAGUGUUCAAAGCAGGCCACACGCCUUGAAUAAGUUAGCAUGGAAUAAUAACUAAGGACUUCGGUUCUAUUUUGUUGGUGUUCGGGACUGAAGUAAUGAUUGAUAGGGACAGUUGGGGCGGUCUGUAUUCCAAAGCGAGAGGUGAAAUUCUUAGACCUUCGGAAGACAAACAGCUGCGAAAGCGUUCCGCAAGGAUGUUCCCUUUGAUCAAGAACGAAAGUUGGGGGAUCGAAGACGAUCAGAUACCGUCGUAGUCUCAACUAUAAACUAUACCAGCUAGGGAUCGGCCAACGUUAUUCUAUACCGACUUGGUCGGCACCUUAUGAGAAAUCAAAGCAUCUGGGUUCCGGGGGGAGUAUGGUCGCAAGGCUGAAACUUAAAGGAAUUGACGGAAGGGCACCACCAGCCGUGGAGCCUGUGGCUUAAUUUGACUCAACACGGGAAAACUUACCAGGUCCAGACAUAAUAAGGAUUGACAGAUUGAUAGCUCUUUCUUGAUUCUGUGGGUGGUGGUGCAUGGCCGUUCUUAGUUGGUGGAGUGAUUUGUCUGGUUAAUUCCGUUAACGAACGAGACCCCAGCCUGCUAAAUAGCGCGCGUGAGCUUUGCUCGCGGCGAGCUUCUUAGAGGGACUAUGAUGCGCGAUAGCACAUGGAAGUUUGGGGCAAUAACAGGUCUGUGAUGCCCUUAGAUGUUCUGGGCCGCACACGGGCUACACUGGCGCCUGCAACGAGCAUAUCAGCUGGCCCGAGAGGGUCUUGGCUAAUCUUUUGAACCGGCGCCGUGCUUGGGAUUGACCUUUGCAAUUGUUGGUCAUGCAACGAGGAAUGCCUUGUAAACGCGAGUCAUCAGCUCGCAUUGAAUACGUCCCUGCCCUUUGUACACACCGCCCGUCGCUCCUACCGAUGAAUGUUCCGAUGAAAUUUUCGGAGAGUGCCUGUGAACUUGGCUCUGCCUUGCGAACGGGAAGCUCAAAGUCACUUAAUCGAAACAUCAGGAAAUUAAG
rnacentral:rRNA from 1 species